AUAGAUUUAACCCACUAAACCAAAUGAUUCCCUGAGGGACAGUAUCACAGUUUUGCAGUUUCCCACCUGCACACAUCCAGUUAAGUGCCUCACCCUUAGCAAGGCAAAAUGUAUGCCGUAUGGUAUAUAGGGCACAGCAGGGAGGUUAGAUGAUGUGAUGGGCUGGAGACAAUCACUGUGAUUCUGCAUUAUCUCUUCUCCCUCCUGUAUUUGCAGUGAUUCUUCUUUCUGCCAUAGAAAAAAACAUUUGAAGACUGUUGAAGAGCUCCUGAAGUUUUUGCCAAAGAAGUCUGUUAUUGCCAAAACAUAAACUGCUUAAAGAGGAGGAGGAAAACUGGGACUCUCUACUCAGCUGUGGAAAUUUGCUCUUCCCCUGGAAAAAGACAGCAUUGAUCUAGCAGGCAUCAGGGUCCAGGGUGACCCUACUAUAAAUGUACGUGCAUCUCCUAUGCAUGGCAGAGGGGACUUUAACCUGAUCUGA
rnacentral:lncRNA from 14 species